UAUUCUGCCCCACGGGGAAGGAUGAGAAGCUUCGACUAAGGUUCGACUCGAGCGCAGCGAGAGAACGUUGCCGCAGGCAACGGCCCGAAGGGCGAGGCGCUUUAGCGCCGAGUAAUCCUUCCCCCACCACCA
rnacentral:sRNA from 1 species